UACGUAGGGUCCGAGCGUUAAUCGGAAUUACUGGGCGUAAAGCGUGCGCAGGCGGUUUUGUAAGCCAGAUGUGAAAGCCCCGGGCUCAACCUGGGAACUGCAUUUGGGACUGCAAGGCUGGAGUACGGCAGAGGGAGGUGGAAUUCCACGUGUAGCAGUGAAAUGCGUAGAGAUGUGGAGGAACACCGAUGGCGAAGGCAGCCUCCUGGGCUAGUACUGACGCUCAUGCACGAAAGCGUGGGGAGCAAACAGG
rnacentral:rRNA from 1 species